rnacentral:rRNA from 1 species
AUGGCGCCCCCGAAGCUCUCCUUGCUGGUGCUCCUCGUCCUCCUCCUCCCGGCGGCCGGCAGCGCCGGCGCCAACGACGUGGCCGCCGACGCGCCCCCGGUCGGGGCCGCCGGCGGCGGCGGCUUCAACGUCUCGGAGAUCCUGGCCAAGUUCCCGGAGUUCACCCUCUUCAACUACCUCAUCAGCAAGACGCGCGUGGCCAAGGACAUCAACAGCCGCAACUCCGUCACCGUGCUCGCCCCCGUCAACGCCGACGUCGACUGGCUGCUCCGCCGCAGCGCGCGCCUGCCGCGGGCCGCCUUCCUCGAGCUCCUCUCCGUCCACGUCGUCCUCGACUACUACGACGCCGCCAAGCUGGCUGCCCUGCCCCGCGGCCGCGGCGCCAAGCCCGUCGUCGCCACCACGCUCUACCAGACCUUCGGCCCCGCCAACGGCGACAAGUCCGGCUUCCUCACCAUCACCCCCGCGCCCGACGGCGGCGCCGUCUUCGCCUCGGCCGCCCCCGGCGCGCUCGUCAACGCCACCUUCAACAAGGCCGUCACCGCCAGGCCCUACAACAUCUCCGUCCUCCAGAUCAGCAACUUCGUCGUGCCGCCCGGGGUCAUCACCAAGCCGCGCGCCCCGCCGCCGCCCAAGGUGAUGAGCUCCGUGUCGGCCGUCGCGCCCAGCCCCGCGCCGGUGAGGUCGCCGUCGCCGUCCCCGUCGUCGCUCCCGUGCCCGCCCGUGACCAUGCCCAUUGAGGAGCCCAUGGAGGAGACCCCGGCGUCCGCGCCGGCGCCGUCGCAGGGCCACGCGCUGCAGGCGAUGAUGGGCUGGUGGUCCGCCGCCGGCGUGGCGCUGGGAAUGGCGUGCGUGCUGGCGCACUUGUAG